CCCUUAGAUGCUCUGGGCUGCACGCGCGCUACACUGAAGCUAUCAACACGUUUUCCCUCCCUGAGAAGGGCGGGUAACCUUUUGAAUCAGCUUCGUGGUAGGGAUCGGGGCUUGCAAUUGUUCCCCGUGAACCAGGAAUUCCUAGUAGACGCGAGUCAUAAGCUCGCAUCGAUUAAGUCCCUGCCCUUUGUACACACCGCCCGUCGCUACUACCGAUUGAACGUUUUAGUGAGGCAUUUGGACCGACGCAUCUCAGUUUAACCGCUGGUUUGUGUUGGAAAGACUUCCAAACUUGAGCGUUUAGAGGAAGUAAAAGUCGUAACA
rnacentral:rRNA from 1 species